AUACGGAGGAUCCGAGCGUUAUCCGGAUUUAUUGGGUUUAAAGGGUGCGUAGGCGGCCUUUUAAGUCAGCGGUGAAAGUCUGUGGCUCAACCAUAGAAUUGCCGUUGAAACUGGGAGGCUUGAGUAUGUUUGAGGCAGGCGGAAUGGGGGGUGUAGGGGUGAAAUGCUUAGAUAUCACGCAGAACCCAGAUUGUGAAGGCCGCCGGCCAAGCCAUGACUGACGCUGGUGCACGAAAGCGUGGGGAUCAAACAGGAUUAGAUACCCUGGUAGUCCACGCAGUAAACGAUGAUCACUAGCUGUUUGCGAUACAGUGUAAGCGGCACAGCGAAAGCGUUAAGUGAUCCACCUGGGGAGUACGCCGGCAACGGUGAAACUCAAAGGAAUUGACGGGG
rnacentral:rRNA from 1 species